ACUUAAUACAAAGAGCUUUUCCUGGUAUUGCUUGUGUUGGAAUAAUCUAACCUCAUGUUCUUUGUCUAUACACAGGCCAGCCAGAAAUCUCUGAGCCUUGAUAAAGGAACACAAUAUAGUGAGGCUGAGGGCCACCAAGCAGAUUCUCCAUCUCCUGCAGUGGAAACUAAAAAGUCCAAGAAGAAACGUAAAAACGUCUUUAAAUUAUUCUCACAGGCAAUGAGGAAACUGGUUUGUGUGAAGCCAGUGUUGGAAGAUUGAUCUUCACAAGAAGUCGUAUUUUAAUAUAUACAAUAUUUUAGCAUUUUUAGGAAACAAAAUCCAUUUUUAAAAUUUAAAGUCACGGAAUGAAAGAAUGGGUGUGAGGCAGCAGGAGUCAAUGGCCCAACGUCAUCAGCAUGACCAGAGUGUCAUUAAGGACAAUCUUUCAACCAGAUGUUUGAAGCAGCUUACAAUGAUCCGUACAUGGUGUAUACUGUGUUGGGUAGGCAGUAAUAUAUAUUGUAAUUGGUACGUAAUAAAAAGGGAUUUAUGAAGUA